UCUGUGCUCCUCCAGGAGUCUGUACUUGUGGCUGCUUUUCCUUAGAGUAGUUAUUGACCUGGCUUUUCUGAUUCCUCUUUCUGCAACAUUUAAGAAGUGGACAGUUGUUGCUUCUGUUUCCUGUGUCCUGUCUGGAAAAAGGAGCUGAGCAGCAGCAGGAGAGUUGCUGAUCUUGCUGUUGUCAUUCUGUUGUAACAUUGCAAAGAGCCCUGUUUGAUGGGCUCAGUGUUGAACUGCUGCAAAUUGUUUCUGUGCACUCAGCUGGAAUAAUGGAGAAACACGUUUAUAGCUGCAAUGUUUUGUUCCUGUUCAUUUCGUGCACAGAAGUUUGGGCUGUUCUCUACCAUCCGCCAAGAGAUGGCAGUGCGAUGCUGCUCCUUGAGCUGGGCUUGCUGCAGGAGCUCGGAGGGCUGGGGACCCCUGAGCCUUCCUGCCGAGGCUCUCGGUGCCCUCCCCUGAACACAGAGACAUUUAUCAGUUCACAUCAUACGAGCUAUGGGUUCAGAAAAUAAGCAAAACUAAAAAAAUUGUCUAAAAUCUGCUUUGUAGUGCUCUGGGGAGCUUCACUUCCAUCCUGCAUGCUGAGUACAUUUAUUUCUUAAUGUGUGCUUUGGCUGGGAUGGGGUUAAUUUUGGGCUUGGUGGCUGGUUCUGGGCUCGAGGAAAUCCAGCCUCUGCCAGGGACACGGGACACUGCUGGUCUGCAGCUCUGGGAGAGGAUUCAGUUCAGGCUGGAAAUGUUCUUAGAGUCCCUUUUCAAACAAGUGUUAGUAGGGAAAACUCCUCACUUGGUGCCAUUUGUUGCUGAAAUCUGAGGCUGCUCCCUUGACACUGGACUGUGCUCCCUCUGUUCACAUGGGAUGUUUAUCACAGCACUGUAUCAGGACAAUUUUGUAAUAUUCAGUCUAAAUUUUCUAUGUCUUUAUACAACCUAGUAGUGUUUGCUAAGUCUCCAUUACUAGAAUAAAUAUUUCUUAUUCCAAUUUUA